AACGUACGCUGGCGGCACGCCUAACACAUGCAAGUCGAACGAAGUAGCAAUACUUAGUGGCAGACGGGUGAGUAACAUGUGGGUAUCUGCCCUUUGGCCUGGAAUAACACGAGGAAACUUGUGCUAAUACCGGAUAAGUCUUUACGGAGAAAGCUUUAUGCACCAUUGGAUGAGCCCGCACUUGAUUAGUUUGUUGGUGGGGUAAUGGCCUACCAAGACUGUGAUCAAUAGCUGAUUUGAGAGGAUGAUCAGCCACAUUGGGACUGAGACACGGCCCAAACUCCUACGGGAGGCAGCAGUGGGGAAUCUUGCACAAUGGAGGAAACUCUGAUGCAGCGAUGCCGCGUGAGUGAAGAAGGCCCUUGGGUUGUAAAGCUCUUUCGUCGGGGAAGAAAAUGACUGUACCCGAAUAAGAAGGUCCGGCUAACUUCGUGCCAGCAGCCGCGGUAAUACGAAGGGACCUAGCGUAGUUCGGAAUUACUGGGCUUAAAGAGUUCGUAGGUGGUUGAAAAAGUUAGUGGUGAAAUCCCAGAGCUUAACUCUGGAACUGCCAUUAAAACUUUUCAGCUAGAGUAUGAUAGAGGAAAGCAGAAUUUCUAGUGUAGAGGUGAAAUUCGUAGAUAUUAGAAAGAAUACCAAUUGCGAAGGCAGCUUUCUGGAUCAUUACUGACACUGAGGAACGAAAGCAUGGGUAGCGAAGAGGAUUAGAUACCCUCGUAGUCCAUGCCGUAAACGAUGUGUGUUAGACGUUGGAAAUUUAUUUUCAGUGUCGCAGCGAAAGCGAUAAACACACCGCCUGGGGAGUACGACCGCAAGGUUAAAACUCAAAUGAAUUGACGGGGACCCGCACAAGUAGUGGAGCAUGUGGUUUAAUUCGAAGAUACGCGCAGAACCUUACCAACACUUGACAUGUUCGUCGCGACUCUAAGAGAUUAGAGUUUUCGGUUCGGCCGGACGAAACACAGGUGCUGCAUGGCUGUCGUCAGCUCGUGUCGUGAGAUGUUGGGUUAAGUCCCGCAACGAGCGCAACCCUCACUUUUAGUUGCCAUCAUUAAGUUGGGCACUCUGAAAGAACUGCCAGUGAUAAGCUGGAGGAAGGUGGGGAUGACGUCAAGUCCUCAUGGCCCUUACGUGUUGGGCUACACACGUGCUACAAUGGUAUCUACAACAGGAAGCAAGACUGCGAGGUCAAGCAAAUCCUUAAAAGAUACCUCAGUUCGGAUUGCACUCUGCAACUCGAGUGCAUGAAGCUGGAAUUACUAGUAAUCGUGGAUCAGCGUGCCACGGUGAAUGCGUUCCCGGGUCU
rnacentral:rRNA from 1 species